rnacentral:rRNA from 1 species
UACGGAGGGUGCAAGCGUUGUUCGGAAUCAUUGGGCGUAAAGCGCGUGUAGGCGGCUAGGCAAGUCGGUUGUGAAAGCCCGGGGCCCAACCCCGGAACUGCAUCUGAAACUGCCUGGCUAGAGUCCCGGAGAGGAAGGCAGAAUUCCCGGUGUAGGGGUGAAAUCCGUAGAUAUCGGGAGGAAUACCAGUGGCGAA